GAAAAACACAGUUAAUGAAAAUAUUGUUGAUAAGAACAUUUAUAGAAAGGAAGCUUCUGUUCAACUGUCAACUCAUCCCUCAUCCAUUUUCAUGAAAUAGUCUGCUGGUCCAUACAGGAGCUGUGUUCAAUUCCAAAACUCAAGCUGCAAAUAGUUAAGAACUGAGGUGCACCCUUUACAGAUUCUGAAGUUGCAUCAUAAACUAACUGCAGGGUUAAAAAGGAUACAUUCCGAAAUGGACAAAUCCCAGCUUUCCGCAGCAAAAUUGGUUUGUGUCUACCAAGCAAGUACAGGAACUUCACGCCUUUAAUGGCAAUAUAUUUC